rnacentral:rRNA from 1 species
CACCGCCCGUCACACCAUGGGAGUUUGUUGCACCAGAAGCAGGUAGCUUAACCGCAAGGAGGGCGCUUGCCACGGUGUGGCCGAUGACUGGGUG